AGGAGACGGCGGAGGGGAGGAGCAGAGCCGAGGGCGGGCGCCAGCGCCGAGCCGAGGAUCGCUGCCUGGCUGGGACUGAGCCUUGGCAUUUCGGUCGCGGCAGCAGGAGUCUCGGCGCGGCGCCUCGAGCAGCAGCAGCAGCAGCGCUGCCCCAGAAGCCGGAGGUGGCGGAGGAGCCCUGCUUGGCCCGGGCGCGCGCCGCUCCCCCUGAAUGACGGGCGGCAGGUUCGACUUCGACGAUGGCGGCACCUACUGCGGCGGCUGGGAGGACGGCAAAGCCCACGGCCACGGCAUUUGCACCGGGCCCAAAGGGCAAGGCGAGUACGCGGGCUCGUGGGCGCACGGCUUCGAGGUGGUGGGCACCUACACCUGGCCCAGCGGCAACACCUACCACGGCUACUGGGCGCAGGGCAAGCGGCACGGGCUGGGAGUGGAGACGAAGGGCAAGUGGAUAUACCGCGGCGAGUGGUCGCACGGCUUCAAGGGCCGCUACGGCGUGCGCCAGAGCCUCACCACCCCUGCGCGCUACGAGGGCACCUGGAGCAACGGGCUGCAGGACGGCUACGGCGUCGAGACCUACGGAGACGGAGGUACAUACCAGGGACAAUGGACAGGAGGGAUGAGACAUGGCUACGGCAUGCGGCAAAGUGUACCCUACGGCAUGGCAACUGUGAUCCGUUCACCCCUCCGGACAUCUUUAGCUUCACUCCGUAGCGAGCAGAGCAAUGGUACUGUUCUACAUGAUAUUACUUCAGACAGUCCGGCUGGAACUAGAGGAGGAUUUGUUCUAAAUUUUCACACUGAUCUUGAAGGUAUUGGUAGUAAGAAAAAAGGAGGCUUGUUCAGAAGAGGAUCCCUUCUGGGUAGUAUAAAACUUAGGAAAUCUGAAUCUAAAUCAUCCAUUUCUAGCAAACGUAGCUCUGUUAGGAGUGAUGCUGCUAUGAGCAGAAUUAGUUCUAGUGAUGCCAAUUCUACUAUUAGUUUUGGGGAUGGGGACUGUGAUUAUUGCCCAGUAGAAGACCAUGUUGAUGCCACCACAACAGAAACGUACAUGGGUGAAUGGAAGAAUGACAAGCGCAAUGGUUUUGGUAUUAGUGAGCGCUCGAACGGCAUGAAAUAUGAAGGAGAGUGGCUAAAUAAUAAGAGACAUGGAUAUGGAUGUACCAUGUUUCCAGAUGGCACCAAGGAAGAGGGAAAGUAUAAAAACAAUGUUUUGGUCCGUGGAAUAAGGAAACAGCUAAUACCAAUAAGGAACACAAAAACUAAAGAAAAAGUGGAUCGGGCCCUAGAAGGUGCCCAGCGUGCAGCUGCCAUGGCAAGAACUAAAGUGGAAAUUGCAACCUCAAGAACUGCACAUGCGAGAGCCAAAGCCGAUGCUGCAGAUCAGGCUUCCCAGUCCGCCCGUCAGGAGUGUGACAUUGCCAGAGCGGUUGCCAGAGAACUUUCCCCAGGCUUCUACCAACCAGGUCCUGAUUAUAUCAAACAACUUCACAGCAUGGAAGUUAAGGAAAACCCUGAAGAAAAAGCUCAGGAGAAACCACCUUCACCAAAAGAAUCCCCCCACUUUUAUCGAAAAGGAACUACACCUCCCGGGACUCCAGGAGAGAGCCCAAGGGAGAGUCCAAUCCUCUCUGCUGAACCUUCCCCUGCAAAACAAAUCAAAAAGCAAAACUCGACAUCAGAGGUUGGACUCAUUCAAGAAAAAAAGAGUUUAGUCACUGAAAAUGUAACACCGAGUAUCAACAAACCUCUUCACUCAAAAGUUCCUAUGAAGGAGGAGGCAAUGGUAAAGCACCAGCCAAAGUUCUCACCCCGCAACAAUCCUAGCAGCACAGAGAAUGGGGAGCUGCAUGAUCAUUACCAUGGGUACUAUGUGAAAACGAAUCCAACUUUGUAUCCAUAUGAGCUUGGGGAAGACGAGGACCAUGCCAACCCAUCAUCUUCAGCACUUGCACUAGUAGCAUCAGCUCAGAAGUCAAGCCCCUCCAAAUCUGGGUUUCAGUUAGAUGCCAAAGAAUUCUUAAAGAAACCUGAUUUUGCUGCACCAAAGAAUCCAGCUAAUAACGACUUCUAUUCGGUGGAAAGAGAAGUCAGUUUGCCUUUUCAGAGGAAGAAAACAUCCAGUGUGCCAAUCCACAGAAAUGAGAACUGCAAAACUAUUGGAGAUAUAAUCCGAUGAGGUUUGAUGGAUUAAUCAGAAGUGCCAGAAAAUGUUUUGAACUAAGUUCUUGGAAUAUUGAAAUGAUUUUUGGCUUAUUUGACAAAAUAUUGUGCCUGCCAUAGAGAGUUUUUGUGCCAGCAUCAGCCAUCUGCCAGAUGGUAACCCUGGCAUAGGUCUUUUCAUGCCAGAUGCCAGAAUAACAUGAUGGCUAGCACAACAUAUUACAACAAGGUAAGUCAUCUCUGAGGCUAUUCCUGAUGCUGAGAAAUUCCCAACAAUCUCCUGGUACAUAAGAAGAUAGGAAGCUGCCCAUGGGCAAAAUAAAUAAAUAAAGAUAAUGUAAUAAUAAUAUAAUCCUGUGUGUCUCGUAUGUAGCUUUCUGUGCCACAUUCCAUUCUGCUCUGGAGGGUUCCCCAACCACCAGGAGUGAAUGGGGGGGCCUGAAAGAUGGGGGAAAUUGCAGGAAAUUGCCUCCAUUUUCAGUCUUCCCGUUAGGUAAGUGUUCACUCUUUCCCACUGGUAGGCCUACUGCAGGUAAAUUUACUGUGACAAAUGCAAUAAAUUUGUGAGUGAGCAUAAUAACUUAUUAGAAAUAGCUGCAUUUUUAAUAGCCCUUAAUAUAUAGGUUUGACUCCCAUCAGCCAUAGGCUCUGUUUAAAAUGUUUUAAAUGGCUUGCUUAAGUGGUGGUUUGCCAAAGCUUUCAAUGAGGACAUAGUGGUCCGCAUAAAGGAAAAAGUUUGGAAGUGCUGCCUUAACUGCUUCUUCUGCAAAUAGAAGACACUUGCGUUUGCACAAGAAGGUGGUAAUUUUCACUGAUCAUUGUUCUCUCAGCAGUGUUCCCAUGUCCUUUGCCCUCCAACUCCAGAAGGUCCAUUAACCCUCAGGAGUUGAUUUUCAAGAAAGUGUGGGAAGUUGCUGUUACAAGGAGGGAGGGUGGAAAUUCCCUUGCAGGGAGAACUUAGAGUUAGGAUAUAACACAGUGUCUGAGCAGCUCAUUUGUAGCAGGUUCAUUAUUAGUCUUUCAAAAUACUUCAGUUGAUUGGUUGAAACUGCAGAGAACAGCCAUCCUGGUACAGAUCAGCAGACCUGAGAUACUACUCAUAGGGAGGUUAAUAUUGCAGCUAAUUAUGCAUUUCUGAGAAUUUGAAUAUUCAGUUAUACCAAUACCCUUUGGUUUCCUUAAGACAAAAUCUCUAGUCACCGAAAAAUUUUAAAAGGAGAAAAUAAGUAGGAUGGCCUCCCUUUUAAACAUAUGAAUGAUAAAGUCUCAUCCAUGUGGCUGGUAUCUUUCUGAAUAUAGUUCCAACAUAGCAUUUGUACUUAUAGUCUGAAUCUGAAGCUAGACAAAUUAUACUUUUAUUUUUAUUUUCAAACUGACAUCCAAUUUCAUGGACCAAACAUGACCUUCAAAUCUCUUUGCUGUGGCUGCAGUCUACAGAAUCUCUUUGUUGUCUAUCAAUUCCUACAGAAUCUCUUUGCUAUGGCUGCAGUCUACAAAUGAUAUCUGAGUAAAUGUGCUUGAGGCUAAGAUGAUUGUUACGAUUUGAUUAUGUGUUCUCAUCACUUUUACAUUCUCAAACAAUCGUCUCUAAGUAAAACGGGUCCUAAUUCAAUCAUGAUUGCCCUGGUAAUGCUGUUGAAUAUUGGUUUAGCCAUUCUUUUUGUCCAUUUUCUAACUUGAUUGGAAUUAGAAAAGUGAAGUCAUGACAACUAGUGGCGUAAGCCCACAAUUCUCGGCAGUUGUGUCAUCAGCCUUUUAAAUGGCACGAGUCAUGUUCAGACACAGGGAAGGAGGCAUGGAAUUAGGAUGGGACACGAGAGAGAGGAAACUUGGAACACUCAGCCAGGGACCUGAUCAGUUCCUCUGCUGAGGAGUUGUGGCUUUGGGAUCUUCUUAAAGCUGAAGCAAGCAGCCAUGUUGGAAAACAAACACAAGCGCGCACACAAAAGCUUGCUGAAGCAGCCCAACAAGUGAAGUGCGUUGGUUACUCCAUCUGUUCCAGCAGAGAGUGUGACUAAACUGGAAAUGUACGGAGCUGCACUUUUGUUGAUGGAAGCUAACAGCUGCCUUACUAUUUUGCCGUCUGAUGUUUUUGGUGGGGGAGAUGGGGAAGCGACUGCCAGAGGAAUGUGGUCAGAGGAUUCUAUUGCUGUGGAAGCGAUUCCAGUAUUCACUCCUAUCUCAUUAGAAGAAAUAGUUAGCAGCAUCACUCACCAGUCUUAUUCCAUUACCUGCUGCUUUUAAAAUCUCCUUGCAGUUUUCUGGAGAUUGUGUUUCAUUUGCUUAUGCAUGAUUCUGUUCAUUUGCUAUUUAUUUAAAACCUGUGUUACAACCAUUAGACAGUAAUGUCAGCCAGCCUGAAAAAUGUCAUUAGUUUUCACCCCAAAUCCAGAAACACAAAAUUAAAGCCUGUAGCGUAUGUGCAGAAUAGAUAUUCUCUUAACACUUUUUUUGUUUUUCCUAUGCUGUUAAAGUUAUCUUCCUUUGAGGGUUAGAAGGCAAUAUGCAACAAUGUUUUUAAAGCCAUUGUGUUUAUCUUCCUUGCAACAGUAGCAGGCAGAAUUAUUCUAAAUGCUGCAAGGUUAACUGGGCUGUAUCAGCAUAAUGGGAAGAGUAAGGUAGAAUAUUUGGAGAAAUGCUGUACCACUGAACUAUUUGGGUCUUAGUUCAUUAAAGAGAAAUUUCACUUGCAUCUGAAGCCUUGCCUGAGUACACAAUAGAAGCUGUUAAUUAAUACCUAUAAUAAAUUAUGGUUUUCAAAAGGCCAAGCUUCACGUUGAAUACAUUCAGGUAGAGCAUAAGUCUGUUAACAAUGACUGAUGAUCAGUUUGAUGCCUUUAAUGUUGUUUAAAUGAGUCUGUAAAAUUACCUCAGCCAGUUAAAACUUAAGCCUCAAAUUCUCACUUGGACUCUUUUGUCUUAACUCGAUUUACAGUCCUGUGUUUUGAUGAUAUGAUUCAUGUUUUCCUCCCCACUGUAGUUGUUGUUUUUCCAUAUUACUCAAAAGCAUGCUUGUUCACUUAUAGGAGAGAAUUGUACAUGGUGUGGUCAUUUUGGAAGUCAGCAUUUUAAUUAGAAACAAAAAGUAAAGGGCUUGGGUUUUGAUUUAUUUUAUCUCUUAGGAACAAAAACACUUUUCAGGUUUUUAUCCUAUUUGUAAAUUAACUACUAUUAUUAUUAUUUAUUAUUAUUUGCAUGGUUUAAUGAAGAGAUUUCAUCAUAACUACAUUAGCUGUCAUAAGAGGCCAGCCCAUCAAGUGGAAAUGGGUAUGGAAUGGAUCUUGUAGCCUGGGUAGGGUCAAUGCCAGGGCAGUAACACAGUGGCAUUUUUUUGCAGAAGGGUGUUGAGAAGCCUGUGUUUUGACCAGUAUGGAACUAAGAAGCAGUCAGCCAGCCAAUGAACUUUUAACAACUUACAUAUUUGUUUUUAAGGAAGAAUAUAUAUAUAUAUUCCUCCUCAAUUUAGAAAAAGUAAUUCUGAAAUGAAGAAUCAGGUUUUUUAAUUAUAACAAGUCUUGAUGUCCUAGAUAAGCACUCUUUCUUAUUUACUCCAGUAACUGCUUAAACAAAUUUUGUAACUGAUAUUUGAAUACUAUUACAUGUUUGUUUAAAAUCUAAAAAGUACGGCUUUUGAAAAUGUUUAUAAACUUAAGCAUGUUAGUUCCAUUUAUAAAUAUGUAUGAUUUAUAAGCUUUUUUAAAAACAAAGCUCCAAUCAAAAAUGUUGGUAUUUUUCUAAAAUGUGCACAGCUGUAUUUUACAUAAAAGGCUAUUUAUAGUUAGUUGUUAUACUGUACACUACAUUUUGGACAGCUCGUAAGUCUGCCAAUGUACUUAAUGAUAUGUCAUUUUGUCUAUUUAAAAUUUCUUGCUGUGAAUGAACUCUUUAUCUAAUGAGCUUCUUUAUUUAUAAUUCUGGACCCCAAAAUGGAUAAUGUACAGUUUUCAUAACUGUAUUUAUGCUAAUAAAAUGGAAUUGGUUACUAA